rnacentral:rRNA from 1 species
UAGCUACAGGCUUAACACAUGCAAGUUGAGGGGCAGCAUGGUCUUAGCUUGCUAAGACUGAUGGCGACCGGCGCACGGGUGAGUAACACGUAUCCAACCUGCCGUCUACUCUUGGACAGCCUUCUGAAAGGAAGAUUAAUACAAGAUGGCAUCAUGAGUCCGCAUGUUCACAUGAUUAAAGGUAUUCCGGUAGACGAUGGGGAUGCGUUCCAUUAGAUAGUAGGCGGGGUAACGGCCCACCUAGUCUUCGAUGGAUAGGGGUUCUGAGAGGAAGGUCCCCCACAUUGGAACUGAGACACGGUCCAAACUCCUACGGGAGGCAGCAGUGAGGAAUAUUGGUCAAUGGGCGAGAGCCUGAACCAGCCAAGUAGCGUGAAGGAUGACUGCCCUAUGGGUUGUAAACUUCUUUUAUAAAGGAAUAAAGUCGGGUAUGCAUACCCGUUUGCAUGUACUUUAUGAAUAAGGAUCGGCUAACUCCGUGCCAGCAGCCGCGGUAAUACGGAGGAUCCGAGCGUUAUCCGGAUUUAUUGGGUUUAAAGGGAGCGUAGAUGGAUGUUUAAGUCAGUUGUGAAAGUUUGCGGCUCAACCGUAAAAUUGCAGUUGAUACUGGAUAUCUUGAGUGCAGUUGAGGCAGGCGGAAUUCGUGGUGUAGCGGUGAAAUGCUUAGAUAUCACGAAGAACUCCGAUUGCGAAGGCAGCCUGCUAAGCUGCAACUGACAUUGAGGCUCGAAAGUGUGGGUAUCAAACAGGAUUAGAUACCCUGGUAGUCCACACGGUAAACGAUGAAUACUCGCUGUUUGCGAUAUACUGCAAGCGGCCAAGCGAAAGCGUUAAGUAUUCCACCUGGGGAGUACGCCGGCAACGGUGAAACUCAAAGGAAUUGACGGGGGCCCGCACAAGCGGAGGAACAUGUGGUUUAAUUCGAUGAUACGCGAGGAACCUUACCCGGGCUUAAAUUGCAGAUGAAUUACGGUGAAAGCCGUAAGCCGCAAGGCAUCUGUGAAGGUGCUGCAUGGUUGUCGUCAGCUCGUGCCGUGAGGUGUCGGCUUAAGUGCCAUAACGAGCGCAACCCUUGUUGUCAGUUACUAACAGGUUCCGCUGAGGACUCUGACAAGACUGCCAUCGUAAGAUGUGAGGAAGGUGGGGAUGACGUCAAAUCAGCACGGCCCUUACGUCCGGGGCUACACACGUGUUACAAUGGGGGGUACAGAGGGCCGCUACCACGCGAGUGGAUGCCAAUCCCCAAAACCUCUCUCAGUUCGGACUGGAGUCUGCAACCCGACUCCACGAAGCUGGAUUCGCUAGUAAUCGCGCAUCAGCCACGGCGCGGUGAAUACGUUCCCGGGCCUUGUACACACCGCCCGUCAAGCCAUGGGAGCCGGGGGUACGUGAAGUGCGUAACCGCGAGGAGCGCCCUAGGGUAAAC